UGGUAACUGGCUGAUGGUUCACAGGAAUGCUGACUGCUGCUGACUGACUUGCUGCUGGUUGACUGGGUAGUGUCACCUGUCCCUGUCUCUCCUCUCUAGCCAUGUCCUUUUUCUUCACUCUCACUUUCCUUUCUCUGAGUGUCCUCGUUCUUUUUUCCUCAACCUUUGAAACUGAUAGAGGUAGAAUACAUGGUUUUGCUAAUUUUAAAUAUUGAAAAUAUCACAUCACUUUACUUCAACUAGUACGAGUUUGUACUUAUUAUAUAUGAAUCACCUGAAAUAACAUAGCUGUAAUCAGCAGCCAUUUCUUGUAUGUUCACAGGUCUAGGGGUGCAUCGUGGAGCAGGGCCCUCCUCUUUUUGACCACAGGACGGUGUACAAAGAUUGUGGGAAUAGCAUCUGGUCUCAGCCUACUCUUGAAUUUUUUGGUCAUGACAAAUUGCAUUGCCGCAAUUUGUCUGCAUACUGACUUCAGUUUAGUUUCCACACACACCUUUUUUUUUGUCUACCCACUUACAGUACAUAUCACAUGGUGGUUAAAUGCACAGUUAUAGGUAACACUGAUGACUCCCUGAAAUGUCUCACCAUGAGUCUCAGCUCCCUGGGUUUUGCAAGGCUUUGCUUGUUCCUUAUUUCUAGUAAAACAUUGUCAAUGUAAAAAAGUGCAAAUAAAUCGGGGAAGCCAUACAUUCGCACACCUUUCUCUGACUGAGUGGAGCAUCCCCAUGCAGCACAGUAAACCACGGUGGAGACUAUGCAAGGACAACAUGAAAGAAAGGACACAUACAAAAUGCUUGUCAUGCUAUUAAAUUUAUUAGAAAUGUAUUCAUGAAUUGCUGUAAAUAGUUAAUUGUAUAAUUACAAUUUAAAAUAACUGUUUUCUAUUUUAAAAUGGAAUAUACUCCUGUGAUGCCAA